rnacentral:tRNA from 1 species
GGGGCUGUAGCUCAGCGGGAGAGCGCCUCUUUGGCGUAGAGGAGGCCGUGGGUUCAAUUCCCACCAGCUCCACCA